GAUGAAGAACGUAGCAAAAUGCGAUAAGUAAUGUGAAUUGCAGAAUUCAGUGAAUCAUCGAAUCUUUGAACGCACAUUGCGCCCGCUGGUAUUCCGGCGGGCAUGCCUGUUCGAGCGUCAUUUCAACCCUCAAGCCCCCGGGUUUGGUGUUGGGGAUCGGCUCUGCCCUUCUGGGCGGUGCCGCCCCCGAAAUACAUUGGCGGUCUCGCUGCAGCCUCCAUUGCGUAGUAGCUAACACCUCGCAACUGGAACGCGGCGCGGCCAUGCCGUAAAACCCCAACUUCUGAAUGUUGACCUCGGAUCAGGUAGGAAUACCCGCUGAACUUAAGCAUAUCAAGCGGAGGA
rnacentral:misc_RNA from 1 species